GUGAGGUACAAAGUGUGAGCCAUGAGAAGAUGCACUAGACUCCGAGAGAGUGCUUCCUGGCCAUCUUCUGUGUAGACUCCAGAUUCUUGGUCCAUCCCGGUUGGUUUAGCAGCAAGUACUUUAUCCACCUGAGAAACUCACACCUUGUGGCAAAGAGAUGAAGAAACUUAUUGCAAAGACAGUGAUGGCUGGCCUGACAUUGCAGGGAUGACAGCCUCUGCCACUCCAAAAUAGACCAAAUGUGACAGAGAAAAGAUACACUAAGUCCACAGAGAAUAAGAAGCCACAAGAUUCAGUGCUAUGAAGCCAUCUGGAUGUUUUCAAGAACUAUCUUCCCACCUCUGAUGGAAAUGCCCACAGCUAGUGUCACACUUGGCCUUGGAUACAAUCCCUUGUGCACAACCCAUCACACCCAAAGACACUUCAAGGCAGGAUGUGCUCCGUCUUUGAACUGGCC
rnacentral:lncRNA from 1 species